rnacentral:lncRNA from 1 species
AGAAGUGUUACAAGUGGAUUCUCUUAAAAACGCAAUACAGUACAGAGACGGGGGAUAGCCAGAUACUUUCAGCAGCAGUGUUUAGUAAACAAUUUCUCUGAGCAAUAAGAUUAAAGACCAAGAACCCACCACACUUGCCUGAUUCCUGGAGAUCUGUGCUUUAUGUUACUUUGGAG